UUUGCGGUAGAGCGCCCUCUUUGGUAGAUGGGGAUUAGGCUUUUGUUUGUAAGCAAAUAACACCGAAUAAACCUGUUUGACCUGGUCUCGUGCAGAGUCAGCCGUUCGUUGAUCAGAGAAACUUGUUGUGUAGUGAGCGGCGCUAAGUAAAGCACGCUGUAUUGAAGGACAGUUAUGUAAAGCAAGCCGUUAGCACAAGCUGAUGUUAGUCCCUUCCAUUGGAGGUGUUGGGAAAUUGUUUCGUUAAUCGUAUCGUGUCAUAUCGCAUGUAACGCAUGGUUAUGUGAUAGUAACUCUCAAGUCAAGCCUCCAUGGUGUUAUUUAAUUUCAUUGCAUGAAAGGGACCCACAACUACAGUAUCGGACCAUAUCUAGCUGCACUUUCUUCCAUCGUCAUGUCAUACUAGUAUGAAUCGGAAUAUGUUCUCUUAAAUUCACCAUGAUAUCGUGAUUUCGUUUCGUGCAGAGCAAAUCUCGGCACGUGCCAGUUUCGACCCCGAGCAUCUACCAGAACUGAGAUCGAUUUUUUUCCGUUCACACACACACACACACACGUUUCGGCACGUGCCGACUCGGUUCUGAGUCUCGGCACGUGACGAGAUCUCUAACGUGAACGCCACUAUUAUAUUCAAUAAAUUGUUUAUUAA